rnacentral:rRNA from 1 species
UACGAAGGGGGCUAGCGUUGUUCGGAAUCACUGGGCGUAAAGCGCACGUAGGCGGAUUGUUAAGUCAGGGGUGAAAUGCCAAGGCUCAACCUUGGAACUGCCUUUGAUACUGGCAAUCUCGAGUCCGGGAGAGGUGAGUGGAACUGCGAGUGUAGAGGUGAAAUUCGUAGAUAUUCGCAAGAACACCAGUGGCGAAGGCGGCGACCUGGGCCAAGAUUGACGCUGAGGUGCGAAAGCGUGGGGAGCAAACAGG